AGCGAACGCUGGCGGCAUGCUUAACACAUGCAAGUCGCACGGUCAGCAAUGGCAGUGGCGGACGGGUGAGUAACACGUAGGAAUCUAUCCAGGGUGGGGGACAACAGCGGGAAACUGCUGCUAAUACCGCAUGAUACCUGAGGGUCAAAGGCGCAAGUCGCAUUGGGAGGAGGCUGGGUCUGAUUAGCGAGUUGGUGGGGUAAAGGCCUACCAAGGCGACGAUCAGUUGCUGGUCUGAGAGGAUGAUCAGCCACAUUGGGACUGAGACACGGCCCAAACUCCUACGGGGGGCAGCAGUGGGGAAUAUUGGACAAUGGGCGCAAGCCUGAUCCAGCAAUGCCGCGUGUGUGAAGAAGGUCUUCGGAUUGUAAAGCACUUUUGGCAGGGACGAUGAUGACGGUACCUGCAGAAUAAGCCCCGGCUAACUUCGUGCCAGCAGCCGCGGUAA
rnacentral:rRNA from 1 species